rnacentral:rRNA from 1 species
CCUACGGGAGGCAGCAGUGGGGAAUAUUGCACAAUGGGGGAAACCCUGAUGCAGCGACGCCGCGUGAGUGAAGAAGUAUCUCGGUACGUAAAGCUCUAUCAGCAGGGAAGAAAAUGACGGUACCUGACUAAGAAGCCCCGGCUAACUACGUGCCAGCAGCCGCGGCAAUACGGAGGGGGCAAGCGUUAUCCGGAUUGACUGGGUGUAAAGGGAGCGGAGACGGCAGCGCAAGUCUGGAGUGAAAGCCCGGGGCCCAACCGCGGAACUGCACUGGAAACUGGGCGGCUAGAGUACUGGAGGGGCAGGCGGAAUUCCUAGUGUAGCGGUGAAAUGCGUAGAUAUUAGGAGGAACACCAGUGGCGAAGGCGGCCUGCUGGACAGUAACUGACGUUGAGGCUCGAAAGCGUGGGGAGCAAACAGGAUUAGAUACCCGAGUAGUC